AAUGUCAUGGAACUUUCAUAGCUUACUGACUAAGGACCAGGAAAACAUUAACAGAAGUAUGCUGUCCCUUAAGGAGGAACUUUUUUCAGCAAUUGAAGAAAUGGAAUGAGACAGACUACCAAGGGCUGCUGCUUCCUGCCAUAUCCAUGACCCACAAGCACCACCGCCGCCGCCAUCACCGCCGCUGCCACCGGCCGUGGACAGGUAGUAUCACGAGGUUCUCAAUAAUCUCCAGUCCGAGACCACCCAUGAAGUAUGGGUUCUGCUGGCCAGACCGCCACAUAUGGUGUCCAACCUGCGGCUUGGACGCGGGAGAAAUUAAUUGAGGGACCCCACUACCGGAUGCAGAGCUCUGGUUAAUUAAGGAAGAAAGGAUCCAAAUGAUUGUAGUCGUUUCCACGGCGGGGUCUUCACACCAUUAAUGAUCAGGCUUUAAAGAUAUAGAGAUACAACCCAGCAUUGGUUUUAAAUGAAAUGGUUAUAAACAUCUGUAACAGCAACUCACAGAAUAUAUGCAAAGACUGAGAAAAAAACCAGAGGUUUAGAGACCAAGACAGAAGAAAAGAAUCUUUAAAAUACAGUUCCCUCCUAAUCAGAAAAACCAUGUAAAGGACGUAACAAGUGAGGCGACUGGUUCUGAGUCGCCAGUUUGCCAGCAGACUCUUCUACGCUGACUGCCAGGAAGGGAGGAAGUUUUAACAAGGGGGGACUUGUCUAUAGUGUCCUCUUUUCCCGUGUUACUUCAUUACAGACAUGGGCCACCUCAGGGGGCAGAUGACGUGCGCGGGGAAGCGCGAGGCAACACUGCCACUGUGGCUUCCGUUUGCUUAAGUAACUAGUUUUAAGUCACUAAACCAUACCUUGCAUCUCUACAAUGCUUCUUCAUGGGCAAUGACAAUAAAUGAAAUACAUGCAG